rnacentral:rRNA from 1 species
CCUACGGGUGGCAGCAGUGAGGAAUAUUGGUCAAUGGGCGGGAGCCUGAACCAGCCAAGCCGCGUGAAGGAUGAAUGCCCUACGGGUUGUAAACUUCUUUUAUAAAGGAAUAAAGUGAGGCACGUGUGCCUUUUUGUAUGUACUUUAUGAAUAAGCAUCGGCUAACUCCGUGCCAGCAGCCGCGGGAAUACGGAGGAUCCGAGCGUUAUCCGGAUUUAUUGGGUUUAAAGGGAGCGUAGAUGGGUUGUUAAGUCAGUUGUGAAAGUUGGCGGCUCAACCGGAAAAUGGCAGUUGAUACUGGCAGUCUUGAGUACAGUUGAGGUAGGCGGAAUUCGUGGUGUAGCGGUGAAAUGCUUAGAUAUCACGAAGAACUCCGAUUGCGAAGGCAGCUUACUAAACUGCCACUGACACUGAUGCUCGAAAGUGUGGGUAUCAAACAGGAUUAGAUACCCUGGUAGUC